rnacentral:rRNA from 1 species
UACGUAGGGCGCAAGCGUUGUCCGGAAUUAUUGGGCGUAAAGAGCUCGUAGGCGGCUUGUCACGUCGGAUGUGAAAAGCCCGGGGCUUAACCCCGGGUCUGCAUUCGAUACGGGCUAGCUAGAGUGUGGUAGGGGAGAUCGGAAUUCCUGGUGUAGCGGUGAAAUGCGCAGAUAUCAGGAGGAACACCGGUGGCGAAGGCGGAUCUCUGGGCCAUUACUGACGCUGAGGAGCGAAAGCGUGGGGAGCGAACAGG